UUCUUAAUGAGCACAGAAGAUCUGUUCCACGGUCCACUGAUGGAUCACAAAGAAACUAUGUGUUCAUUUGACCAAAAGCAAAAUCAAGUAGAAACUUCCAAGACAAUAGUCACAAUAGUACAAAUCAUAAUCAGAAGAAACUUAUGCUUGUUAUUUCAUUUUGUAUUUUCACUGAGAUUAGUUAUGCUACGUUGUGUUAAGGAAAAUCUUGUUGAUAAUUUGCGACAUAUUUUGAGCUCAUUAGGAAAAAAAAUUGUAAAUGUGCUAGACUAACCAUUACAACAUUUGUAAAAUCCAAAAUUAAAAUUUCCUUUACUGUUCUCUGAAUUCCUAAUUAUUGGGCCUGUGAAUUCAUGUAGAGAAAAUGAUUGAAGAAUCCUGCCAGGAUGCCUUAGGAGAGAAGAUAAUACUAUCUAAGGGUUCUUUAAAGCUGGGAGUAACAUAGAAAUGCUUUGCCCAUGCUAAAUAAUAAUUACACUAACAAUAAUAAACUUUCUUAUCAGAAAUUUAUUAGAUCUUCCAUCUCUAAAAAAUCUUGCAAAGGAGACUUUAUUCAGCUGAAAUGCUCUCUUGCAUGAUGUGCAAAUGAGGAUAAAAUAAAGCCUGAGAACGUGGUCAGGGAGAGUGAGAUGGAAUAAGCAGACCAAAAAAUAUUGAAGCAGAAUGUCAUGCAAGAACUGAAGUACAUCUGAUUCUUUCUUUUGAUGGCUUUGUGGAAACAAGCUACCAUGUUGUGAGCCCAGUGGUAAGGAACUGAGGGUAAUCUCUGGCCAACAGCUGGAAAAAAAUCAAGGCCCACAGUUACAGCCGUCCAGGAACCAAACUCCGCCAACAGCCAUCUGAGCAUGGAGCAGAUCUCCUUCCAGUCUGGCCUCCAGACAUAUUGAAUAGAUGGUGCUACAUAUGUAGAGGAAAAAAGGAAGAAGGACGAGAGUCUCUGGGAGUAAUGAAGGAGAGAAUUCCUUCAGGUGGAGAGAGGCAGGACUCCACUGCAGUGCUCCAGGAAAGAGAAGUGUACCAGGGGAGACAGAAGGCUUAGGUCCCAUCCUGAAGAUGGGGUUCAGCCACAGGACUCUGACCACCUGAAGACUCCCAUGGCUCAGGUGGAUUAGAGACAACACUGGUAGUGACCAAACCAUUGGUGUGCUGUUGAGACUUCUGCAUGUCAACAACCCAUGACAGGAGAGCUCUCCCAAUCUGGAUACCGUCCUCAGGCUGUGAGGUCUGUGUGGAGCCAGCCCAUGGAGAUGCUGAUGGGGAAUUGAGGCCUCUAGUUCUCUGGACUUGGUGUGGGGUGAGCUUUCUGGGACGUUGACAAGUCUGGACUGAAUCAAGAGAAUCAGCAUAAAUCUCAGCCGAUGCCUAAUUUUAGAGAUGUCUGAUCCUUGAAGGAGUCUUGCCACAGCCAGAUGGGGUGGGAGACAACAUUUGAGGGUGGAAACGCAGGAGGUGCCAAACUGAAGCUCCAAAGGUUAAACUCAUUUUUGUGGCUGAUAAAUCCUGAGCAAAAAUGAACUGGAUUGUGAGAAGAGUUAUGUAGUACAAGCCGGAGUCCCUGGGGAGGCUGCAGAAGGCUUCAAGGACCACAGUGUGUUGCGGGAGAAAAGGUGGUUAGAGAAAUUACCCUACAAUACGUAAGUGUGGACAAGGAUCAAAUAAGCAGAAGAAAAUAAGCCUGCUGGAGGAGUCACUCAUGCUGAUGAGCCGUAGUAGUUAAUGGCAGAAUUUCUCCAGCUGGUGCCACGUGGAUGGAAGAUAAUGGGGCAGCCUGGAAGCCCUUCCUGUUUCUCAGGGUUCUAGAGCUGCACGGAGCCCUGAGGUAGGCGUCAGCCACACGUGGCUGUUCAAAUUUAAAUUUCUCUUAAUUAAAAUUACAUAAAAUUAAAAAUUAAUGUCUCUGUCCCCCGGGCACAUUAUAAGUACUCAAUAGCCACAUGUGGCUGCCGGAUACCACACUGGACAGUGCAGAUUUGCGACAUUUAUGUCAUCAUGGAGAGUUCUAUUGGAUACCUCUGUUCUUGAGCGGGUGCGACUCAUCAAUCAGACUGCCAUUUUGAGAUUGUUCUUGAAAAGAGCUUAUAGACCAGCACAGGCUUAUCUAUUUGGUCAACACAAACUUCCCCUCUAUU